AAUAGAUACCCUGGUAGUCCACGCCGUAAACGAUGAGUGCUAGGUGUUGGGGGGACCCCCCUCAGUGCCGCAGGUAACCCAAUAAGCACUCCGCCUGGGGAGUACGGUCGCAAGACUGAAACUCAAAGGAAUUGACGGGGGCCCGCACAAGCGGUGGAGCAUGUGGUUUAAUUCGAAGCAACGCGAAGAACCUUACCAGGGCUUGACAUCCCGCUGACCGGUGUAGAGAUACGCCUUUCCCCUUCGGGGGACAGCGGUGACAGGUGGUGCAUGGUUGUCGUCAGCUCGUGUCGUGAGAUGUUGGGUUCAGUCCCGCAACGAGCGCAACCCUUGUUUCUAGUUGCCAGCACUUCGGGUGGGCACUCUAGAGAGACAGCCGGUGAAAGCCGGAGGAAGGUGGGGAUGACGUCAAAUCAUCAUGCCCCUUAUGUCCUGGGCUACACACGUGCUACAAUGGCUGGUACAAAGGGCAGCGAACCCGCGAGGGGGAGCCAAUCCCAAAAAACCAGUCUCAGUUCGGAUUGCAGGCUGCAACUCG
rnacentral:rRNA from 1 species